CAGAUGGGUUAGUAUUAUAGGUGUGGUACUAGACAGAUGGGUUAUGGGUAGUAUUAUAGGUGUGGUACUAGACAGAUGGGUUAUGGUUAGUAUUAUAGGUGUGUUACUGGACAGAUGGGUUAGUAUUAUAGGUGUGGUACUGGACAGAUGGGUUAGUAUUAUAGGUGUGGUACUAGACAGAUGGGUUAGUAUUAUAGGUGUGGUACUGGAGAGAUGGGUUAGUAUUAUAGGUGUGGUACUAGACAGAUGGGUUAGUAUUAUAGGUGUGGUACUGGACAGAUGGGUAGUAUUAUAGGUGUGGUACUAGACAGAUGGGUUAUGGUUAGUA
rnacentral:lncRNA from 1 species